CCUACGGGAGGCAGCAGUGGGGAAUAUUGCACAAUGGGCGCAAGCCUGAUGCAGCCAUGCCGCGUGUAUGAAGAAGGCCUUAGGGUUGUAAAGUACUUUCAGCGGGGAGGAAGGUGAUAAGGUUAAUACCCUUAUCAAUUGACGUUACCCGCAGAAGAAGCACCGGCUAACUCCGUGCCAGCAGCCGCGGUAAUACGGAGGGUGCAAGCGUUAAUCGGAAUUACUGGGCGUAAAGCGCACGCAGGCGGUCAAUUAAGUCAGAUGUGAAAGCCCCGAGCUUAACUUGGGAAUUGCAUCUGAAACUGGUUGGCUAGAGUCUUGUAGAGGGGGGUAGAAUUCCAUGUGUAGCGGUGAAAUGCGUAGAGAUGUGGAGGAACACCAGUGGCGAAGGCGGCCUGCUGGGCUUUUACUGACGCUGAGGCUCGAAAGUGUGGGGAGCAAACAGGAUUAGAUACCCCAGUAGUC
rnacentral:rRNA from 1 species